rnacentral:rRNA from 1 species
GACGAACGCUGGCGGCGUGCUUAACACAUGCGAGUCGAACGGAAAGGCCCUGCUUUUGUGGGGUGCUCGAGUGGCGAACGGGUGAGUAACACGUGAGUAACCUGCCCUUGACUUUGGGAUAACUUCAGGAAACUGGGGCUAAUACCGGAUAGGAGCUCCUGCUGCAUGGUGGGGGUUGGAAAGUUUCGGCGGUUGGGGAUGGAUUCGCGGCUUAUCAGCUUGUUGGUGGGGUAGUGGCUUACCAAGGCUAUGACGGGUAGCCGGCCUGAGAGGGUGACCGGCGACAUGGGGACUGAGAGACGGCCCAGACUCCUACGGGACGCAGCAGUGGGGAAUAUUGCAGAAUGGGCGGAAGCCUGAUGCAGCAACGCCGCGUGCGGGAUGACGGCCUUCGGGUUGUAAACCGCUUUCGCCUGUGACGAAGCGUGAGUGACGGUAAUGGGUAAAGAAGCACCGGCUAACUACGUG